rnacentral:rRNA from 1 species
GACGAACGCUGGCGGCGUGCUUAACACAUGCAAGUCGAACGGAAAGGCCCUGCUUGCAGGGUACUCGAGUGGCGAACGGGUGAGUAACACGUGGGUGAUCUGCCCUGCACUUCGGGAUAAGCCUGGGAAACUGGGUCUAAUACCGGAUAGGAGCCAUUUUUAGUGUGAUGGUUGGAAAGUUUUUUCGGUGUAGGAUGAGCUCGCGGCGUAUCAGCUUGUUGGUGGGGUAAUGGCCUACCAAGGCGGCGACGGGUAGCCGGCCUGAGAGGGUGGACGGCCACAUUGGGACUGAGAUACGGCCCAGACUCCUACGGGAGGCAGCAGUGGGGAAUAUUGCACGAUGGGCGCAAGCCUGAUGCAGCGAGGCCGCGUGGGGGAUGACGGCCUUCGGGUUGUAAACUCCUUUCGCUAGGGACGAAGCUUUUUGUGACGGUACCUAGAUAAGAAGCACCGGCUAACUACGUG